UACGGAGGGGGCGAGCGUUAUUCGGAAUUAUUGGGCGUAAAGGGCGCGUAGGCGGCUCUGUAAGUCAAAGGUGAAAUCCCUCGGCUCAACUGAGGAACUGCCUUUGAAACUGCAGGGCUUGAGGCCGGGAGGGGGUAGCGGAAUUCCCAAUGUAGCGGUGAAAUGCGUAGAUAUUGGGAGGAACACCAGUGGCGAAGGCGGCUGCCUGGACCGGUUCUGACGCUGAUGCGCGAAAGCGUGGGUAGCAAACAGG
rnacentral:rRNA from 1 species